rnacentral:rRNA from 1 species
ACCUAAAACCUAGUUUUANAUUAUUAUAUAAACAAACCACUGUCUCCUCUCCCCAUAAAACAUUUUAGCGGCUCAGUAAAUGCGAUUGANAAAUUAUUAUUAAAACUAAAAUNUUGGCCCNCAAGGGGAAGGUGAANUAAAAUUGAACAACGGUAAGUAUAAAAGAGGNCCCCGCGNUUUU